rnacentral:lncRNA from 1 species
GUACAGGUGUAGGCAGAGGUGUAGAUGCAGGUGUGGGUUGGGGAUAGGUACAGAUUUAGACGCAGGUGCAGGUGUGGGGGUAGGUACAGGUGUAGAUGCAGAUCCGGGUGAGGUGGUAGGUACAUAUGUAGAUGCAGAUCCAGGUCUGGGGGUAGGUACAGGUGUAGAUGCAGGUGUGGGUGUAGGUGCAGGUGCGUGUGGGUGUAGGCACUGGUGUAGAUGCAGGUGCGGGUAUGAGUGUAGGUACAGGUGUAGAUGCAGGUGUGGGUGUGUAGAAGUCAUCAGUUCACUCCCACCCUCUCUGCUCCACGCCCACUGCCUGCCACCAAGGCCAGGAGUUUGUGCAGAAGUUGGUGCAGGCCAUGGGCUGUUGUCUAAGUGUCUGGGCUGCAGGCUAAGAGUGUUGCGCUGAGUGCCUGACUCUCCGUGCCCGUAGCCAGCCCCCAGCCUGCCCCAGCAUGCAGGAAGCCAUUCAGGGAAUGCUGUCCAUGGCCAACCUGCAGGCCUCCGACUCCUGCCUGCAGACCACAUGGCGCACUGGCCAGGCCAAGAGGAGCUCGCUGGCAUCCCAUGGUGCCCAGAAGAAUGGGGGUGGCAGCGGCAAGAGUGCAGGCAAGCAACUGCUGAAGAGGGCUGCCAAGAA